UACGUAGGUGGCAAGCGUUGUCCGGAUUUACUGGGCGUAAAGGAUGCGUAGGCGGAUAUUUAAGUGAGAUGUGAAAUUCCCAGGCUUAACUUGGGAGCUGCAUUUCAAACUGGAUAUCUAGAGUGCGGGAGAGGAGAAUGGAAUUCCUAGUGUAGCGGUGAAAUGCGUAGAGAUUAGGAAGAACACCAGUGGCGAAGGCGAUUCUCUGGCCCGUAACUGACGCUGAGGCAUGAAAGCGUGGUUCGCGAACAGGAUUAGAUCCCCUGGUAGUCCACGCCGUAAACGAUGAGUACUAGGUGUAGGAGGUAUCGACUCCUUCUGUGCCGCAGUUAACACAAUAAGUACUCCGCCUGGGAAGUACGAUCGCAAGAUUAA
rnacentral:rRNA from 1 species